rnacentral:rRNA from 1 species
CACAACAAAGUAAAACGCUAUUAGGUGGAUAGCUCGGCUCAUAGGGCGAAGAAGGAUGCGACAAGCAGCAUUAUGCUCUGGCGAGGUGCAAGUAACCUUUGAACCAGAGAUUUCCGAAUACGACUUCGUUUUUAAAUCCGAAAGGAUAGUUAACGCAGGGAAUUGAAACGUCUUAGUACCUGCAGGAAAAGAAACCAAAUGGGAUGCUGUUAGUAAGAGCGACUGAAAACAGCAAAAGGCAAACUGAAUCUGCUAUUGAAAAGUAGUAGAGAUGUGGUGUUGUAGGACUGCCUUCCGAUUCUCCUUAAUUGAUUUGAAGUCUUCUGAAAAGAAGCAUCAUAGAGGGUUAUAGUCCCGUAAAAGAAAAUUAAAAGAAUUUGGCAGUAUCCUGAGUAUCAUCUCUUGGAUAUGAGGUGAGAAGCUAGGAGACAACAACUCCUAACCUUAAAUACCUGAUGAGUCCGAUAGAGUACAGUACCGUGAGGGAAAGCUGAAAAGAACUCUUGAUAGAGAGUUAAAAGCUCUUGAAACCUAGUAGCUAUAGAAGGAUACGCUCUUUCGGGAGUGUAUCGUCCGUUUCGAAUAACGUGCCAGGGAGUGUAUUUGAGUGGCGAGGAUAAUCGUGUUAAUCGAGCAUCCUUAGGGAAACCAAAAGCCCGCAGUUUACGAGGGGCGAGGUAUGAAAAUGCCUUGAGUCACUUGGAUACGACCCGAAGCCGGACGAUCUAGCCGUGGGUAAGGUGAAGCCCCUGUUAAAAGGGGUGGAGGCCUGAAGAGGUGCUGUGAACAAGCGUUCUCCUAACCUGUGGCUAGGGGUGAAAAGCCAAUCGAGUCCGGUGAUAGCUGGUUCCUAUCGAAGUUGGCCGUAGUCAAGCUUCAGACGAGAUUGUUGAGAGGGUAAAGAUACGGAUUGGGAGUUUAGGGUUCGAAAGGACUCGGUUCCUUGUCCAACUCAGAAUAUCUCAACAUUGUAGACUCUGAAAGACGGGGACGCGGGGUAAGCUUGCGUUCCGAGAGGGGAACAACCCAGACUACAGUUAAGGUCCCUAAAUACUAACUAAGUGUGAAAGGGUAAAGAAUGUCUAUAUCCAAAGACAGCGAGGAGGUUGGCUUAGAAGCAGCCACCCUUUAAAAAGUGCGUAACAGCUUACUCGUCAAGGUUAUAGGCGUCUAAAAUGGACGGGACUAAGUUAGUUACCGAUACUGUAGACAUCAGCGAUGAUUGUGGUAGAUAGGCGUUCUGUUAGAGCAGAAGCUAGUCCUAGAGGAUUAGUGGAUCUUGCAGAAAUGAGAAUCCUGGCGAAAGUAAGAUCAAAGCAGAGUGAGAAUCUCUGUCACCGUAAGGGCAAGGGUUCCUUGACAAUGAAGUUCAGUCAAGGGUAAGUUGAUCCUAAUCAACUCCGUAACUCGGAGUAAUUAAGAAAGGGCAACAGGUUAAAAUUCCUGUACUGUAUAAGUAUGCGUGGUGACACAAGUUCAAUUUCUGACAGUUUGGGCUAGGCUGACAUCCCUUGUCUGGGAUGUUAAUUGGAAUAAAUCAAGGGAGUAUCGUAAUGAUGAGAACUCGAUUAAAUCCAAGAACAGCCACUCUUAAGAGUGGUUCAGCUAAUGCCUUGACUCCCUGAAAAAGGAAUUGAAAAAAAUCUUAUACAUUCAUACCCAUAACCGGCACAGGUGCCCCUGGGUGAGAAGCUUAAGGUGUGAUGGACUAAUCUGGUUAAGGGAAUUCGGCAAAUUAGCCCCGUUUCUUCGGUAUAAGGGGUCCCUACUUUCGUAUCUUUUAGAUGCGAUCGUAAGGCUCAGUAACAAGGGGGGUCCGACUGUUUAACAAAAACUUAACUGACUGCCAGCCUGUAAAGGUGUGUAUAGUCAGUGACGUCUGCCCAGUGCCAGUACCUGAAUCUCCUUUUCAAGGGAGCUAAGGGCUGGUAAACGGCGGGGGUAACUAUAACUCUCUUAAGGUAGCGAAAUGCCUUGCCGUUUGAUUGACGGCCUGCAUGAAUGGCGUAACGAGAUCCCCACUGUCCCUAGCCAGAAUCCUCUGAACACUUCAUUCCGGUGCAAAGACCGGAGACUUCCAGUGGGAAGCGAAGACCCCGUGAAACUUUACUGUAGCCUGUUGUUGUAACGUGGAUUUCAUUGUAUAGCGUAAGUGGCAGUCGCUUGAGAACUUGGACGUCAGUUCAAGUUUUAGACGAUCCUGUAACACCACUCUUUGGAAUUUACGUUACUUUACUCGUAAGAGGACAUCAAUUGGUGGACAGUUUGGCUGGGGUGGCACACUGUUGAAAGUAUAUCAAUAGUGCCCAAAGGUUGGCUCAAACGGGUCAGAAAUCCGUUGUAGAGUGCAAGAGCAAAAGCCAGCCUAACUGUGAUUUAACUAUGACAAAUCGCAGUAUGGAAACAUUGGUCUAGCGAUCUGUUAGCUCCCUUUGAUUGGGGGCUAGCAUUGACCGAAAAGUUACUCCGGGGAUAACAGAGUUGUCUCGCCCGAGAGCUCCUAUCGACGGCGAGGCUUGCUUCAUCGAUGUCGGCUCUUCCUAUCCUGGUCGUGCAGAAGCGACCAAGGGUGAGGGUGUUCACCUAUUAAAAGGAAUCGUGAGCUGGGUUCAGAACGCUGUGAGGCAGUUUGUUUGAUAUCUACUGGAAGUGUUAAUUGUCUGAAGGGAAGGACCGCUUAGUACGAGAGGAACGGUGGUUCGACGCCUCUGGUCGACCGGUUACCUGACAAGGUAGGCCGGGCAGCUACGUGUCAAGGGCUAAGUGCUGAAAGCAUCUAAGCACGAAUCCCGCCUUGAAAAGAGACAUAAGACCCCCAUAAAAGAUGGGUUUGAUAGAACAGAGGUGUAAGCAUCAAGGCAACGAGAUGUUAAGCUUGCUGUUACUAAAAGUCUGACUUAGCAAAU